rnacentral:rRNA from 1 species
GGAUUCCCCUAGUAACUGCGAGUGAAGCGGGAAAAGCUCAAAUUUGAAAUCUGGCAGUCUAUUUUUUCUUCUUUGGCUGUCCGAAUUGUAAUCUAGAGAAGUGCUUACCUGCACUGGACCAUGUAUAAGUCUCCUGGAAUGGAGCGUCGCAGAGGGUGAGAAUCCCGUCUUUGACAUGGACUGCCAGUGUGUUGUGGUGUGCUCUCAAAGAGUCGAGUUGUUUGGGAAUGCAGCUCUAAAUGGGUGGUAAACUCCAUCUAAAGCUAAAUAUUGGCGAGAGACCGAUAGCGAACAAGUACCGUGAGGGAAAGAUGAAAAGGACUUUGGAAAGAGAGUUAAACAGUAUGUGAAAUUGUUGAAAGGGAAACGCUUGAAGUCAGUUGUGUCGGUUAGGGAUCAACCUAGCUUUUUUUGCUGGGUGAAUUUCCUAGUCUGACAGGCCAACAUCAGUCUUGACUGCUGGAAAAGAGCAGGGGGAAUGUGGCACCUUUGGGUGUGUUAUAGCCUUUUGUCAUAUGUGGCAGUUGGGACUGAGGGAUGCAGCGUGCCGCGAGGCUGGGUUUCGACCACGUUCACGCUUAGGAUGUUGGCUUUUAAUGGCUUCAAUCGACCCGUCUUGAAACACGGACCAAGGAGUCUAACAUGCCUGCGAGUGUUUGGGUGGAAAACCCUUGCGCGCAAUGAAAGUGAAAGUUGAGAUCCCUGUCAUGGGGAGCAUCGACGCCCGGACUUGAGCUUUUAGCGACGGAUCCGCGGUAGAGCAUGCAUGUUGGGACCCGAAAGAUGGUGAACUAUGCCUGAAUAGGGCAAAGCCAGAGGAAACUCUGGUGGAGGCUCGUAGCGAUUCUGACGUGCAAAUCGAUCGUCAAAUUUGGGUAUAGGGGCGAAAGACUAAUCGAACCAUCUAGUAGCUGGUUCCUGCCGAAGUUUCCCUCAGGA